rnacentral:lncRNA from 1 species
CCCCCCCCCCCCCCCCCCCCCCCCCCCCCCCCCCCCCCCCCCCCCCCCCCUUUCCACCAUUUCCAGCUUUUCCAGCAUUUCCAGCUUUUCAGCAUUUCCAGCAUUUUCAGCUUUUCCAACAUUUCCAGCAUUCCCAGCACUCCCAGCAUUCCCAGCAUUUCCAGCAUUCCCAGCACUUCCAUCAUUCCCAGCAUUUCCAGCACUCCCAGCAUUUCCAGCACUCCCAGCAUUUCCAGCAUUCCCAGCAUUUCCAGCACUCCCAGCAUUCCCAGCACUCCCAGCAGGGUCACUGUGUGGCCCAGGCUGAGCUCAGGGCCCAGCCUGGCUGCGGGACGGGCAGGAACAGAAUUCCCUUCUGGGGUCGGGGUUCCAUCCUCAGGAGGGAGUGGGAAAAGUGGGAUUUGGGGGAUUUGGGGUUUGGGAUUUGGGGGAUACGGGAUUUGGAAUUUGAAGGAUACGGGAUUUGAGGGAUUUGGAGGAUAUGGGAUUUGGGAUUUGGGGGACAUAGGAAAUGGGAUUUGGGGGAUAUGGGAUUUGGGAUAUGGGAUUUGGGGGAUUUGGGAUAUGGGGGAUUUGGGAUAUGGGGAAUAUAGGUUAUGGGAUUUGGGGGAUAUGGGAUGUGGGGGAUUUGGGGGAUAUGGGAUUUGGGGGAUUUGGGAUAUGGGGGAUAUAGGUUAUGGGAUUUGGGGGAUAUGGGAUGUAGGGGAUAUGGGAUGUAGGGGAUAUGGGAUUUGCAAUUUGGGCGAUAUAGGAUAUGGGAUUUGAGGGAUAUGGGAUGUGGGAUAUGGGAUUUGGGGGAUAUGGGAUGUGGGAUAUGGGAUUUGGGGGAUAUGGAUUUGGGAUUAAGGGGAUAUGGGAUUUGCAAUUUGGGGGAUAUAAAACAUAGGAUUUGGGGGAAUUUGGAAUUUAGGGGAUUUGGUAUUUGGGGGAUAUGGAAUUUGGGGGAUAUGGGAUUUGGGAUUUGGGAUUUGGAGGAUAUGGAAUAUAGGGCACAGGAUUUGGGAUUUGGAGGGUAUGGAAUUUGGGAUACAGGAUUUGUGAUUUGGGGGACAUGGGAUUUGGGAUACCCCACUGUGGGGCAACCACUGGUGCCAGGAAGGAGCAGGGGGUUCCUGUGGGAGAGCAGAGUCCCACGAGGAUUUCUGGGGAUGGGGGAUGGCUCCAGGAUGGCUCCAGGAUGGCUCCAGGAUGGUUCCACCCCAAGCUCAGAGCGCAGAGUCCCGUGAGGAUUUUUGGGGACGGGGUGGCUCCCUGGUUCCAUCAGGGCUGUCAGGGACAGCGAGCACAGCGGGGUCGGGAAGGGGCUGCUGGGGAUGGUGUGGGAGGAGCAGCACUUUGGGACUGCAAACCUGGGUGACUAUGUAGAAGCGGAUUUAUUGUUGAUUUUAGCUUUAAUUAUACA